UCUUACUGAUUUUAGAGAGAGAGGAGGGCAUAUUAGAGAGAUAAGGAGGAGAAAAAAAACCUAGAGGCCUAAGAGCAAAAUUCUUCCGCCGCAGUGACCAAAAAAGGGACCCCCAUCGGAUUUUUGGAGGCUUCUCUUUCGCAUUUCCAAAGCUAGCUUUAUCUUCUUAAAAGAAAACAAAAAAGGAAGGUUCCGUUUCCCAUUUUUCUUUUGGAUCUUCCUCUUGUGAUUUUUGAAAGAAAACGCACAUGAACAGUGCAUUUGUGACCCCAAGACAGCACCCCCCAUUUGCUUUCCUAAGACCAUGUAGCAGACGUACAUCAUUUUCUUUUGUUGUUAUUUCACCUUCGCUACUCUUUUUGGUGUUUUAUCGAAGUUGUUAAUCCAUAUCCAAGUUUCGAGCAGUGUGCUUGUCGUAGGCAGAAAAAUAUAAAUAGACUGGGCAUUUGUGCAUAAAAUCGGGGAGAAAUGAAUUUCGAGCAAUGUUGGUUCAUGUCAACCAUUAAAAUGCUGCUGAUUUCGUUGAUCUGUUGCUGUGCUCCAACUAUCUUUGCCCGUUGGCUUAGAUUUAGUCUUUACACCAUUAGAUUUGAAGCUUCAGACGAAUUCGCGAGGCAAAGGAUUGUUAGAAUUUCGAAUUGGUUGCAAAGCGAGAUCUAGGUAUUUGAUCGAUAGUAGCUGUUCGUUGCACUGGAGACUCGGGGUAAACCUGCUGCAGCCUUCGCGGUCCUCGGAGUCACCUUCGAUUGUACUUAUUUCCAUAUGUACCUUUUGUUCGGAACAGUGAUGUAUUUAUUUUGAAUAACUACUCUUAGAAAAGCUUAUGACUUGUACUACCGGUUUUGGGAAUGGUAAAUUGUUUAGAGAAAUUUCAUUUUAA